UAGAAAUAAUGACCUUGCUUUUGGAAUACUAUAAAGAACUCAAGGGAAACCCCGACCUCACUUACGUUUCCGAUGUGUGGCUACCUGAGGCUAUAAUUUUUUCAAUACAAGAGAUCGACAAAGUAGACCGAGAAAGGGCUGAGGAAAUGUACCAGGCGGGAAGCGAACUUGCUGUCUCCAGCUCGGAAGUCCAAGAAUUUACUAAAAACUUAAAGCAGAGAAAACCAAGUGCAGAGCAAGUCCAGGAAAGAGUAAAGAAGGCUGAAAGAGCACUGGCAAGAUAUAGUGCAGGCGAAAGCUGAAGGUUUUCUCUCCCCUGGAAAUAUUGUGUCAAUUUGACCAUUCAUGGCCUCAUAGGCUUACGUGAAGAAAACAAAGCUCACACUCGCUGAGCCCGCGAUCCGGUUAUCGUUCAGUGGUCAUUCUAGUUGCUACGCAACAGACUGUAUUACCUUAUCUCUGAUGAGCUAUUGUCAACAGCUGUUAUUACAGUUUUCAGCGGUUAUUUUUAGAUAGGCUGUGGAAUAGGUUGUCGUGGAAUGUCCCCAACGUACUAUGGGCCAAAUAUUUGUAGAUCUCUUAGGGUUCGUAUCCGAAAACGUUCUAGCAAAGAUUUUUCAAAAGACCCCUUUGACUUUAGCAAGUGCGUUGGAAGUGCAAAGGCUUUUCUUAAAGAAGAAAAUCAUUUUCUCUCGUGAGUUAGAGAAACUCGUUGCUGGAGAUUUGUUAUCCAGUCAGCCAGUUUCUUGACAAUUAUGCCGUUUUAACUUAGGUUAGUUUAAUACUGAAAAUUCGAAUCUUAAGUUGUCUUACGUUAAGACCAGUCUUUUUGAGAAUGAAUUUAAAAGUGAAUUUAGAAGGUUUUUGAUGACACUCCUAGGCUAAAAAAAGUUGUUAGUACGUUCACAAAACGGAAAAGUAUGACAAUACAUGUGCUGUAUGGACAGCAGUAACUUAACCUGUUAUUUCUGCGUCAGUUUAAGAACGCUUUAUCAAUAUCCCCAGAAAGGAGUUGAAUAAUUGACUGGUAAUUAGCAAAGGAAGAAAAGAAAUUAAAUUCAAAACAUAAUUUCAGUGAGUGGUGAUUUUGUUUCACUUGAAACCAUGACGAUGAUAGACCAGUUCUGCCUGGCUUUCGGUCAUGCAACGCUACGCGCUCGAGAGCGUAGCGUUGCGCGACAAAGAGAGGGCCAGAACUGGACCAUUAUGAUGGAAGAUCUCAAGGUUACUUAAGCUUACUGAUGAAAAGAUACACUAAAAUAAAGACACUGUUUCAAA